rnacentral:lncRNA from 10 species
GGCGCCCUGGGGCCAGCAGACCUGCUCGCAGGCCUGACCUCGGCGAGCUGGGCGCUGCCGCCUCUGUGCGGGGGGAGCUCUGGCUCAGGCUCCCCAGUGGUCCCGAGGGAUUUGGGGGUGCUCCCCUAGCGUGAGCAGAAACUCUUUGUGACCUUGUUAAAGUGGUCCAGCCUCCUCAGGCCUCGUCUUCCUCGUUACUGAUGCUUGUCCUGCCCACCCCGCGAGAUGGGGAAUCCUAAAGCUCCCUCUCGUGUCUCGUUAGCGCCCUGGGGUUGCGCUGUGGCCCGACAGACAAUGCUGCUCGCUGCUGGAGGCUUGCAAGCCCAAGUUAUGGAGUCAGACUGUCCGGGUUCGAAUUUUCGUCUCUGCCUUGUAGUAGGGUGACCUUGGGCGAGUCACUUAAUGCCUCUGAGCCAUGACUUCUUUACCUGUAAAGUGGGCAGAACAAUAGCUUCUAUGCUGUGGGCUUAAAUGACAAGCAGAACGCGUUGUCAGACUUAGAAUAAAUGCUCAAAAAAAGGG